rnacentral:lncRNA from 1 species
CCUUGAGGCCACAUUUGACAGGCAGGCCCCUGAGGCCAUUUCUUCCCUUGAAACUAUUGCUGACUACAGAGAAUCUCAUUGGCUCUGUUUCCUCUACGUGCUGCUUGAAAACGGAAUAGUGCCUUUUCUAAGGCGUCUCUCUCUUGUAACAACACCAUCACACAUCACUAAAGGAAGCCAACCCAUACUCUGAACAUGCAGCUUGGAAAUCGCCUUCGCCAGAUCUGCAACCUCAUUAGGUACGUAUUCCGUCUUCCGUGUCUCACUGCACGCACUGCCACACAUUUUGCCGCUGCUUAGCCCCACUUCUCCAGCCUCCAGGACAAUUUCCUCACUACCCCUGGAGCCUCCACUGGGAGAGUCCUUCCCAGACGGAGGAGAUACAUCAACUAAGUGCAAACACAGGGCCCUGGACUGGAUUCUGAAACCGGAAAAGAGCAUCACCAGAAACGCUGGCGGAGUUCAUACAGGGCUGUAGCUUCUGUUGAUUUCUGGGUGUUGAUCAUUACUCUGUGGUUAUGCAUUUAUUACUAUUAGGGCAGCUAGGUGCAGAACACACGUGACCUCUGUACCAUUUUUACGACUUUGGUGUAAGUCUAAAAUUGUUUCAAAAUAGAAAGUAGGGCAGCCCUGGUGGCUCAGCGGUUUAGCGCCACCUUCGGCCCAGGGCGUGAUCCUGGAGACCCCGGGAUUGAGUCCCGCGUCCGGCUCCCUGUGUGGAGCCUGCUUCUCCCUCUGCCUGUGUCUCUGCCUCUGUGUGUGUGUGUGUGUGUGUCUUUCAUGAAUAAAUAAAAUCUUUUAAAAAAAUAGAAAGUAAAAAAUAACUAGUUAAUUUAAAAGAGAGAGAGAGAGAGUUCCCUCAUCACCUCUCCAACCUCUACCCAAUGCUUGGUCCCAAAGCCAAUGCCACGUGUCUUAGAUUUUUUUCAAGCCAACACCCAACUUUCAGACAUGGAUUUCCGUUAUCUAUUAUGCAUAAUACACCACCCCUGAAACAUGGCAGCUUACAACAGCAUCGACUGUUCUCUCACUCGCCAUUCUGCACUAGGGACAGAACACAAUGACAGCUUGUCUUUCCUUCAUGUACUGUUGGCUGGGGUGGCUUGACUGGGGCUGGAGGACCCAUGAUGAUAUCAAGCACGGGGCUAGGGCCCAGCUGGAGUGCCUGAAAUAGUGAGGGGCUGGGCCUGUCUCCUUCCUUAGGUCUCACUGCCUCCAUGAGGCUGUUGUCUUCAGCACCGUUGUCAGUCUUCCUUAUCAUCCAAGAAAGCAAACACUAAAGUUGCCAGGUCUAGGCCCAGAACUGGAAUAGCAUCAUUUUUGCCGCAUUCUAUUGACCAAAGCAAGUAAUGGAGCCUGUCAAGAAUUCCGGGGAGGAGAAAGAGACUCUACCUCUUAGUAGGAAGCAUGGAGAGAGACAGCGUAAUUGCUGGUGGCCCUCUACCACCAUGACCACACCCCACUCCCCUAGAAAUGUCUCCUUAAAACAGACAAUCUUCCCUGGUCAAUUCUUCCUAGAACCUCCAUCAUUUAAGAAUCAUUGCUAUCUGGGUGCCUGGGUGACUUGGUCGGUUAAGCAUCUGACCCUUGAUUUCGGCUCAUGUCGUGAUCUCAGGGUCCUGAGAUCCAGCCCUGCGCUGGGCUCUGCACUCAGUGGGGAGUCUGCUUGGGAUUCUCUCUCUCCCUCCC